rnacentral:rRNA from 1 species
CCCUUAGAUGUUCUGGGCCGCACGCGUGCUACACUGAGUGGAUCAGCGGGUCAGGUUGCGCGAAAGUGUUUCCUAAUCUUGAAAUCCGCUCGUGAUGGGGAUUGACGGUUGCAAUUUUCCGUCAUGAACGAGGAAUACCUUGUAAGCGCGGGUCAUCAUCCCGCGCUGAAUACGUCCCUGCCCUUUGUACACACCGCCCGUCGCUCCUACCGAUUGAGUGGUCCGGUGAAGCCUCGGGAUUGUGGUUCUUGCCGCUUUAUUGUGGCGUGACCGCGAGAACUUGUCUAAACCUUAUCAUCUAGAGGAAGGUGAAGUCGUAACA